rnacentral:tRNA from 2 species
UCCCCGAUGGUCUAGUGGUCAUGAUUUCCGCUUGUCACGCGGGAGACCGGGGUUCGAUUCCCCGUCGAGGAG